AAUUUUUCAAGGAUGGAAAUCCAGAUGUUUUCUUGUGAUUCCUUUCGUGAUGAUUUCGGUGUUUUUCGACGGAUUCGUGAGAUGAUGAUUUAUAUUUGAUUGGGGAUUCUUUGAUUUUUUUUUAUUCAAAGCGAUGUCUUGGUAUGAAGAUCAUGACGAUGGGAUUUCUUGAUAUCUUCUUGGAAAGGAUGCGGCGAGGAUCCGGUUUCUUGUCUAAAAGAUCAAUUCUUUGAGGGUGAAGAUCCAGAUUGGUGAUUUGUCAUCAGUGCUUUGGUUUAAUAUCAAGGAUCGGCAAUAAGAAGGUAUGAAAGUUUUGCUGCUGAAUUAUACUGGAAGAUUGCAAGGAAGAGAAGAAGAAAAUAGAUUUAGAUUUGUUGCGAGGAUCUAUUGUGUUCUUGGUGUAGAAACCGGUUUCAUCUCCAUCGAUGAACAAGGCUGUGAUGAAAAAGGUGAUGUAUAUUUUGUAAUAUGACCUUUGCCAUGAUGGGUGCGCUCGCAUGGCAGGUCGCCAUAUCCUUAAUAAAAAUUUCGUUUUUGUGGUUCUUGAGGGAGAGAUCGCACGGGGAUUUGAUUUUUUUUAGUUCCCCCGGGCUCUCUCCCUCAUCUUGUGUGCUUUUGUGUGUGUGUGUGUCUGCGCGCUCACGUCUUCACUGAUUACGGCACUUCACCGAUUAUGCCAUGAUUAUUAUCGAUUACUACCUUGCAUCUCCCGCUCGGCAGGCCAUGCAUGUGAUCUGUGUCUCACCAUCAAUAUCUCUCAUUGUAAUCGCAGGUAAAAGCUUCUACCCUACAUCUACGUCUGUUUCUACAUUGUUCAUGAUGAAUUUCUUUUUUUUUUUUUUACCAACUUAUCCAUACCAAAAUUACUCAUUCACAUCCAAGUCACAUUACUUUAAUUUUGCUCCCUAACGCUUACAAUCAUGCUAUCGUUUGUGCUGUCUAACGCUCAUGAUCAAACUUUUGUUUAUAAAGCAAUAUGUUAGGCCGAAUUUGUUCUAUUUGUAUUUGUGUUCAGAGUAAUGCUCAGUCAAGAAACGAUAUUAUUUCAUUAAUUUGUUGUCUAAAGUUAAUGUCAAUUGUUUGGUAUACAUUGCAAAAUUUGAAGUUGUUAUAGAUUUUCUUGAAGUUCAAAAGGGCUAGCAUGCUAUAAGAUAUUAUGGAUGGUGAAGAGAGCUGGUUCUUGUUUGAGGAAUGCUUGGCAAGAAGGAUAUGGUUUAAUGUCCUGAAUCACAGAGAAGGCCUUCCAAGUUGGUUAAGAUCAGUUCUCAAGUUUUGCGUAUUGUUUCACCUUUCUAGAAGUUGUCUUCACUAUUGGCAUCAAGAGUUUACCCAGCUAGGCCUUUCAAAGCAGCUGAGGAGGGCUUGAGUGACCUGGUUGUUCCUUUGUGGGCAUUGACAAAUUUUUUUUAAUUGUCUUCCAUUUCAUUUUCAAACUAUGGCUAGCUGUGCUAAAGUAAACUUGCUUAAAAUAUUGCUUUAUUUUAGUAGCAGUAUUUUUGUUGCUGGGUGGACUAGUGUGGUGUAUUCUACUACAAAUUUGUUUUUAUGUCCCAUAGCAUGAGAGUAAUAUUGCUCAUCAUCAAUCAAAAAUAGUUUUACUAUGCAUUGGUUCCUAAAUAGUGUAGAUGUAGUUGAGAUGAGUUCUCUAUAUUUUCUUCUACUCUGUAUUUUAUUUGUUUAUUUUUGUUUAUUAAGUUGUGUUAGGUGCUUGUUUUGGCAUUCAUUCUACUUAAUCUUUCAAUGGUAUAAUAUAUGUAGUAUAUUCAAAUAUCACGACUUAACUAUAUCUUCACCACCCAUGAUCUUCUAUUGUCGUAGGAAAAAAAAAAAACACUAGCCCUCAUUUCUGUUUCCUUCAUGGUUGUGCCGCCAACAAGGACUAGUGGAUCUUCUUUUCGAGAGUUUGUUCGCUUCUUUCAAGGAUAUGCCAAAGGUGUAAGGUUUGAGAGUAUUUUUG